rnacentral:rRNA from 1 species
UAAGGAAUAUUGGUCAAUGGGCGGAAGCCUGAACCAGCCAUGCCGCGUGCAGGAAGACUGCCCUACGGGUUGUAAACUGCUUUUGUACCGGAAUAAACCUUGAUACGUGUAUCAAGCUGAAUGUACGGUAAGAAUAAGGAUCGGCUAACUCCGUGCCAGCAGCCGCGGUAAUACGGAGGAUCCAAGCGUUAUCCGGAUUUAUUGGGUUUAAAGGGUGCGUAGGUGGCUUUUUAAGUCAGGGGUGAAAGACGGUAGCUUAACUAUCGCAGUGCCUUUGAUACUGAAGAGCUUGAAUGAACUAGAGGUAGGCGGAAUGUGACAAGUAGCGGUGAAAUGCAUAGAUAUGUCACAGAACACCAAUUGCGAAGGCAGCUUACUAUGGUUUAAUUGACACUGAGGCACGAAAGCGUGGGGAUCAAACAGGAUUAGAUACCCCCGUAGUCC